CACGGCGCCCCAGCCCCACUCCCGGCCCGCGACUCGGGGCCCGAGCCUCGCCUACCUGCGGAGCCCUGGUAUCCCGCGGGCCGUGGCUCCCCAGCCUGUCAGCUCCGCGGCUCCCUGGUUCCCCGGUGGUGGGGGCUGGGCGCAGUCCUUGCCUCCCUGGCCCAGGGUUUGGAGGCUCUGCCCGGGAGAGUGGCGGGAGGGGCCGUCGUUGGUCGUCGACUCUGGGCUCCAGUCUGCAGCGCCCUCUGGGAGCGGACACCGAGCGCCCUCCAGGCAACAACAUUGAAGAACCUGGAAGAUUUUCUGCUCAGUUAAAUAAGACAGUCACCAAAGGACAAAUACUGUAUGACUCCAUGUGUGUGGAGUUCCGAGAGUAGUCAAAUUCUUAGAGACGGAAAGUCGAGUGGUGGUUCCUAGGGGUUGGAGAGAGCGGAGAAUGAGACAUUAUUGUUGUUUUUGGUGACGCCAUGUGGCACAUGGGAUCUCAGUUCCCCAACUAGGAAUGGAACCUAUACCCGCUGAAGUGGAAGUGCUGAGUCUUAACUACUGAACCACCAGGGAAGUCCAAGGCAUUAUUGCUUGGUGGAUACAGAGUUUCAUUCUGGGAAGAUGAAAGAGGUUCUAUAGUUGUUGAUGGUUGCACAACAGUGUGAAUGUACUUAAUGCCUCUGAACUGUGCCCUUGAGAAAGUUAAGAUGGGGAACUUCCCUGGCAGUCCAGUGGUUAAGACUUCCUGCUUCCUCUGCAGGGGGCACAGGUCCCAUCCCUUUCCAGGGAACUGAAAAUCCUGCACCCUUCUCGGCAAAGAAAAAGAGUUAAAAUGGUAAAUUUUGUUAUGUAUAUUUUACAGUGAAAAAAAGAAUGCAAGAAAAUCCUUCACCUUAAUCUUGAAAAAAGAAUAAUAUAAUGAACACUUAGUUUAUCAAAUCUUCACAUGAUGUCUUUUUUCCUCUUCUUUUUAAUGAAACAAAACAUUGUAGAUUUAACUGGAUCUUCUCAAUUUAUAUUUUGAGAUUUAUCUGUGUUGAUACAUGUGGUUCUGUGUCAUUUAUCUUAAUUGCUGUAUUGUAAUUCAUGCAUAUGCCACAAUUUAUUUAUCCAUGGACAUGAGGUUGUUUUCAGUUUUUCAAUAUUACUCACAGCGCAGCAGUCAAUUCUUGUAUUUUUCUCUGUAAGUGCAUGUGAGGUUUUCUCUAGAAGGAUAAAUAGAUAGAGAUCCUGGGCAGUAGGUAUAAGUAUCUUUGACUUUCUUAAGAAUUGCUCUAAGCAAUUUUUCUAAACAAAUCUCCAAAGCUCUCCUCAGGGCUUACAGCAAUUUACACUUCCAGUGGCAAUUAUGAAAGUUCCCAUUUUUCUACAUUCUGUGACUUGACAUUCAUUGGACCCUUUGUAUUGUGCCAAUCUGAUGCAGGUAAAAUGAUAUCUCAUUGUCAUUUUGAUUUUGAAUGGCUCUCUUGUUAUGAAACAUUUUGCUGAGCCCUUUUGUUGCUGACUGUUUGGGCAGAUGGUACUGUUUGCUCCCCACAGCUGUUUUACUCUGCUUUUCCCUUAAAAAAAAAAAAACAAACCUAAAUUUCAGUUGGGCUUAUGGCCUCCUGUACUAAAGACCACCCUUCCCAUCAUCUCUUACAACUAUGUGUAGCCAAGUGAUUAGUGUUUCGCUGAUCAGACUGAACAGAGGCUGUGCACCUUCAGGGACGUGUCAAAGGGAGGAGGCAUGCCCUUCUUGCCUUCUUCUUUCCUUUCAGCUGGAAUGCAGAUAUGAUGGCUGCAGCUGGAGCAGUUAUCUUGGAUGAUGAAGUGAACUUGGAAACCAAAGCAUGAGUGGCAGAGGAACAGGUUAGAAGGAACGAGCCUGGGUGGACCCAUGACCAUGAAUCACUGCACCAGCCCUGGACUGCCCACCCAGACAUACUCAUGAUGGAGAAAGAGACUUCUGCUUUGCUUCAGACACUGCUACCCUAUAUUUUCUAUCUCUCACCAGGAAUCCAAUCCUAACAAUACACCGAUCAGUUCAGUCUUAUGCAAAGCACCCAACGGAGGACACGUGUGUGUCUGGGGAGGACUGAGAAAGGAGUGGUUCUGAGGAAGCACCAAUACAUCCCUAUAGAAGGCAACCCGGCCAGUUUCCCAGGCCUGGACUGUGAGUUAAACUCUGGAUGUGACUUGAGUCACCUAACAUCCUUCCCUAGAAGAAGUCUAGACGAGAAAAACCAUCUUAGAGUGAGGCGGUGCUUUCAGAGUCUGAAGUCUGUGCGGCCUUCUCUGCCUCUCAAGGGAACUGCUCCUUGAGGGUGGUCUCAGGAGGUGGCAGGCAGACUCUGACCUCCACAGAGGCUCAGUGUGUAACUCCUUGCCCACACCUGCUGUGGGGCUGGGCUUGAGUCCUUUGGGAGACACGAAGAAUAAAAACCUUGGGACAUUUUUGUUUCUUCUAA